rnacentral:misc_RNA from 1 species
UUUCCGUAGGUGAACCUGCGGAAGGAUCAUUACAGUAGUCACCCGGGUUGCUACAAGGCCUCUCGGGUAACCUACCACCCUUUGCUUAUUACACUUUGUUGCUUUGGCAGGCCUGCCUUCGGGCUGCUGGCUCCGGCCGGCGAGCGCUUGCCAGAGGAUCUAAACUCUGUUUGUCUAUACUGUCUGAGUACUAUAUAAUAGUUAAAACUUUCAACAACGGAUCUCUUGGUUCUG